rnacentral:misc_RNA from 1 species
CACGCACGCGCCACUAACUACAUACAACCAGAAAGAAGCAACCGCGCAUCACGCAGGCAGGCAGAUGAAAAACAACCUUGGCCGCGGGAGCCUUACGCUCUCCCCCGUCGCCGAGGAGGCCCGCGAGGCGGCGCGAGAGCCCCGCCAGGCUGUCCUCCUCGUCGCUCUCGCUCCGGGCCGCCACGGCCGCCUUCUCCUCCUCGGAGAAGAAGUCGUCGUCCAAAAAGUCCUCCGGCAGCCAGAACUCCUCCCCGAGGUCCGCGCACUCCGUGGUCGACAUUUCCUCCACUCUCGACACCGUCGAAGAAGCCUGAAAAGCCCACCGCCGACCGGUGGAAUGAGCACAGCGCCCGGAACCCUGGCGGACCAGCGGCAGCAGCAGCAACAACAACCACUGCGUGCGGCUCCCUCUCCAAAGCAGAGAGAAAAGCGGCGGGUGGAUGGAUGGAUGGAUGGAGUGGGGAGUAGCGGCGUGCUUAUCAGCGAAAAGAGGUGGGAGUGGCACGGCGAGAAAGA